rnacentral:rRNA from 1 species
GUUUCCGUAGGUGAACCUGCGGAAGGGUCCAUGCCCCCCACGAGUUGCAGCCAACCCGCGGCGAACGAACACAAUGUCCCCUUGGGCGGGUCGGGGCGCGUCGCAGCGUCCCGGCCGGCCACCUCCCUUCGCCGUCACGAGCGAGCUCGCUUGUUCGCGGCGUGGGGUUUCCACGAUGUGUCCACCUUGACCGAGUGACUGAGUCCCGAAUCGACUGGCUACCUUGCGAGUUGAAGGAAUAGAACACCGAAACAACUCUCAGCAACGGAUAUCUUGGCUCUUGCAACGAUGAAGAACGCAGCGAAAUGCGAUACCUAGUGUGAAUUGCAGAAUUCCGCGAAUCAUCGAGUCUUUGAACGCAAGUUGCGCCCGAGGCUUGUCCAAGGGCAUUUCCGCUAGAGCGUCAACGCGCCCCCCACCGAUCCGCUCCCGCCGGGUGUCGGGUCGAGUGAAAGUGGCCAUCCCCGUGUGGGGGCCUCCUUCCGCGAGGGAGGAAGGCCUUUCGAGGGUCGGCUGAAAUGGAUGGAAUCGGGCCGCCGUGGAAGAAACGCAGUCCGCGAUCGGGUGAUCCGGGCCCCUCCGGGAGCCCGGAAUUUUUCUAAGUGCGUUUCUGCGUGUCCCAGUCGGUUGUGGUUCCCUCUUGCAGGUCGAGCGUCACGCAUCGGACUUCUAAUCGGAAAAGACUACUCGCUGAG